GGGAUAGGAUGGGAUGCCGUUCAGAUGGACUCAAAAAAGACCAUUAAGGUGUUAAGUACAAAGACACUGCUUGAUGGAAGUAGGCUCCAGACAGUCUGACAUGUGAAGAAUCAUCCUGGUGAGAGUUCCCACAUCAGACUGUUGAUUAAACAAAGACUAACCUGUGACAGGUGGGAGAAAAGAAGAGAAACAGUCAUGUUCUGGAGCUGCAUUUGACCAGAUGGUUGCAAUUGGAGAGGUCUUGUCUGGUCAUACAGGACAUUUGCACUGUCACCUCCAGUGGUAUCUUACAUUGGGUAUUUUUCGGGUUUGAACAUGGAAGUAUUCACACCUGGACCAGCUGCAGACCAGCUAUCAGCUCUGGAAGGUCUCAGUCAGUCUGUGCAGAAGGGCUAAAAAAGUAGUGAUUGAGAUAUAUUGAA